GUGGGGAAUCUUCCGCAAUGGACGAAAGUCUGACGGAGCAACGCCGCGUGAGUGAUGAAGGUCUUCGGAUUGUAAAGCUCUGUUAAUCGGGACGAAAGAGCCUAGUGUGAAUAAUGCUAGGAAGUGACGGUACCGGAAUAGAAAGCCACGGCUAACUACGUGCCAGCAGCCGCGGUAAUACGUAGGUGGCAAGCGUUGUCCGGAAUUAUUGGGCGUAAAGCGCGCGCAGGCGGAACUGCCAGUCUGUCUUAAAAGUUCGGGGCUUAACCCCGUGAUGGGAUGGAAACUACAGAUCUAGAGUAUCGGAGAGGAAAGUGGAAUUCCUAGUGUAGCGGUGAAAUGCGUAGAUAUUAGGAAGAACACCAGUGGCGAAGGCGACUUUCUGGACGAAAACUGACGCUGAGGCGCGAAAGCCAGGGGAGCGAACGGGAUUAGAUACCCUGGUAGUCC
rnacentral:rRNA from 1 species